CUCGUAGGCGGUCUGUCAAGUCUGAUGUGAAAGCCCGGGGCUCAACCCCGGAAGUGCAUUGGAAACUGGCAGACUUGAGUACGGGAGAGGAAAGUGGAAUUUCGAGUGUAGGGGUGAAAUCCGUAGAUAUUCGAAGGAACACCAGUGGCGAAGGCGGCUUUCUGGACCGAUACUGACGCUGAGAUGCGAAAGCGUGGGGAGCAAACAGGAUUAGAUACCCUGGUAGUCC
rnacentral:rRNA from 1 species